rnacentral:lncRNA from 1 species
CCUCAAAAGUCAUAACUUCAAAAAAAAUAAAAAAUAAAAAAAGCAAAAAAAAGAAAAACUUCAAAUACCGCCCCUGUGAUUUCGCACUUUCUCACUUCAAUACCCUAUAAUUUAAAAUGUAUUAAUUUAGUACCGUGUGGUUUUAAUUUUCUCUUUUCGUCAGCUUCUUCAUUAACAUUUCGUUAAAUUAUAUAAAAAAAACGUAGAUACCCCACCUAGGUUUAUUGAAUAUUCACUUUAAUAUUAUUUUAGUUUUUACUUUGUCACUAAUUUUACAAAAAAAAAAUUAGUGACGGGAAUAAUAAAUAGAGAAAAAUAAAAUCAUGGGGUACUGAAUUGAUACACUUUAAACCACAUAAUACUAAAAUAAAAAAGUGUGAAACCACAGUUUGAAGUGUUUCCAAAAAAACACCCCUUCUCUCAUUGUUUGUCAUUUGUUC